AUACGAAGGGGGCUAGCGUUGUUCGGAAUUACUGGGCGUAAAGCGCGCGUAGGCGGACUGAUCAGUCGGGGGUGAAAUCCCAGGGCUUAACCCUGGAACUGCCUCCAAUACUGUCAGUCUUGAGUUCGGGAGAGGUGAGUGGAAUUCCUAGUGUAGAGGUGAAAUUCAUAGAUAUUAGGAGGAACACCAGUGGCGAAGGCGGCUCACUGGCCCAUUACUGACGCUGAGGUACGAAAGCGUGGGGAGCAAACAGGAUUAGAAACCCUAGUAGUCC
rnacentral:rRNA from 1 species